ensembl:snoRNA
AUCCUUUUGUAGUUCACAAGUGUGAUGAUUGCAUGUUCACACUGUUGUGUGACAUGUGCCUCCCUUAAACUUUUUUAUGACCUUGGCAUUUUACCCAUCUCAUG